rnacentral:rRNA from 1 species
UUCUGACCGUAAACGAUGCCAACUAGCGAUCCGCCGGCGGCUCUACAAGGCCCUGGUGGGGAGCUUCCCGGAAACGAAAGUCUUCCGGUUCCGGGGGAAGUAUGGUUGCAAAGCUGAAACUUAAAGGAAUUGACGGAAGGGCACCACCAGGAGUGGAGCCUGCGGCUUAAUUUGACUCAACACGGGAAAACUCACCCGGCCCGGACACCGUGAGGAUUGACAGAUUGAUAGCUUUUUCAUGAUUCGGUGGUUGGUGGUGCAUGGCCGUUCUUAGUUCGUGGAUCGAUUUGUCUGGUUUAUUCCGAUAACGAGCGAGACUCCAGCCUACUAAAUAGUGCGGGCGUUGCCUYUGCGCCCUUGCACUUCUUAGAGGGAUUGGCUGCGUCUAGCGGCACGAAACGGAGCAAUAACAGGUCUGUGAUGCCCUUAGAUGUCCGGGGCUGCACGCGCGCUACACUGGCAAAGGCAGCGUGCUUGUCCUGCGCCGAAAGGCGUGGGUAAACCAUUGAAAAUUUGCCGUGAUUGGGAUCGGAAAUUGCAAUUAUUUUCCGUGAACGAGGAAUUCCUAGUAAGUGCGAGUCAUCAGCUCGCGUUG